UCGCCAGUCCCCAAUACCAGACCUGGACUUAGAGGGCUGGAACACAGGCAGCCAGCUGCCCAGGGACGGGGAUAGACGGUCACUGCAAACAGAUGCACAGGAGGUGGAGAGAGAGCAGGAAGCAGCGUCACUCAGCUCGUAGAAACCUGGGCAGAGCAGACACAGUGGUUAGCGGACCAGAGCUCUUUUCUCUUGCUUUGACUGCCACGGAGAGGGGUGAAGAGCAGGGUAGGAUCCUGGCAGCCUGGCUCACGGAUGUCCAGUCAUCAUGAGCCAUACCUGAGCUGGGCCUGCUGUCACUGUCCAAGGCCUCGCAGGAAGACCUGCUCACAUCCAGCUGCAGUUCACUUAUCUGCUGAUCCAGCUGGUCCAAGUGUGUCUUCAGGCCAGCAUCCUGUCUCCUUAGCCGUGACUAGGAGAAAAGAAGAUAAUCCAAAAGAGACAGAGGGCACCAAGAGAUUGGGAUUUCCCCAGAAUCUCAUCUUGGGAGAAAGAAUGAGAAUGAGCCAGGGGCCACCUGGAGCCAAAGCGUGUCUCCCAAGAAGAGAUUUCCCCUGUCUGACAGCCCACCUACCAGACACCUGAGACAAAGCCACCUUGCUCGGGAUUGAUCACCUCUUGCUUCUUUUCAUAUCUAUAUUCGUGUCGGUGCCCUAAGGAUGAACUUGGGGGCCACUGGACCUUUUUAUUGAUCCUAAUUUUCAAUGUGGACACACUGAAUAAAUGUCCUUUCUCAGCUUUUCAGUA